rnacentral:lncRNA from 1 species
GGUUCAUUAAUGGCUGACAACUGCAACUUCAUCAAGUCUAAUAACAAGGAUAUAUUUGCACCAUCUGUACGCGGCUCAGCAGUUCCUGAUUUUAGGAGGUUUGAAACUGUAUCAUGCUUAGUGCAUUUCUCAACAAUGCCAAAACCUAAAAGUACUGCAUUUGAGCAGGAUUCUUGUGCAUCAAUUGAUACCAGCCAUUGAGCAGAGGAAUCAACAUUGACGAGCUGACUUUCAUCAAACCAUUUAUUUUGCUGUUAACUUGUUGAACUUUGAGCUGAUGGACACUUUUUGCAGGCAUUUGUUCAAGUUACGGGUGGUAUACUCUUUACCCAAGUGAGUUUGCAUUGCAGGAGGUCCAAGUGAUGGAAGCGGUAACUUCUUGGUCUCUAACUACCCUUCAUGUGCAUUGCAGGGUCGGUGAGUUUAUGCAGAAACGCUGCAUUUGACGUUGUGCAAAUUUCUUAGAACAUGGCAUAUUCUAUUGAGCUGUCAUAUGCAUGAUAGAUUUACAUCUUCGGUUGGUCCUUUGCAGGUCACGCACACAUGGACAGAAUUAGCAUGAAAGCUCCCACUUGCAACUGCUGAAUUGCCUUGGAAUGAAUGAAGAGAAAGACUAAGAUCCUGUGUCGAGCUGUUUGUUCUUGAGAUCACAAGAAAAGUGGCUUUGAAAAUUCAUCGAAUUGCCAACAAAACUCGUCGGAAAAACGUGAAAGCAUCAUUGUCAAUACUUGAUUGAAUGAAAUCUGAAUGAUUAUAGUUCUGCUGCAAAUUGUAACAAGAAGAUUAUGAAUUUUCCGCCGCGAUAACCAUUUUAAUUGUCUUUGUAAACCAUUAUUGUUAUCCUCCUUGAACUUGAAUCAUUUCUCCACCAGUAC